AUCUGGACUCAACUUUAGACCACUCUAUGAUACAUACAAAGCAGAAGUAAUGGUUGCAACAAUCGAUAACACCUCUGAUAAUUGUGGUUCCAUGUCCAGUUUCAGUCAAGCAAAUUCCACAGCAAUCCUGUUCCGUCUCUAAAUUCGAAAGUUCAAGCUUCGAUUUGCCUUUGUCAGAUGAGGACGGGGAUGAUUCAGGUGAACUCAGGGUUAGGGUUUUGACACGUUUGUUUGGAUGCAUUUCCGGAACCCCGAUAUCUUCCUCGUCAGACGCCAUAUCCAAGAAUUCUAGCUAGCCGGAGUAUUGGAAUCGCCG
rnacentral:misc_RNA from 1 species